CGUCAAAUCAUCAUGCCCUUUAUGGCCUGGGCUACACACGUGCUACAAUGGCCUGCACAAAGGGAGGCGAGGCGGCGACGCGGAGCAAAUCCCAGAAAACAGGUCCCAGUUCGGAUUGCAGGCUGCAACUCGCCUGCAUGAAGUCGGAAUCGCUAGUAAUCGCAAAUCAGCACGUUGCGGUGAAUACGUUCCCGGGCCUU
rnacentral:rRNA from 1 species